GGAUGAAUCAUAAAUACCUACUACUGAGUUCAUUGAUGGAUGUUCUUUGGGAUUUAAAUCUUUGUCCUUUCUGGGGACAAGACUAAUAAAAUUAGUUCUCAUGUUGGGAUUGAUAGUUGAUACCCUACUUAAAAAGACCUAUCAAUCAUGACAAUACAUUCACUUGCACCAUCAACUGACUUCUUGGAAGAAGCAUAGACUGAUGAAGUGCAAGAUACAUAAGAAGUUCCAAUUGAUCUGUUUGUUAUGUCCUUUUAGGAAUAUUUGGUGGUUUUGUUGGUACUUUAGUCUAAUCACGAAGUUUGUUAACAGUCUUCUAAUCUAACAGUAAUUUAGUCAGUGGUCUACUCAAACUUUGGAAUUAGUUAGAGUUAGAACUUCAUUAUAUAUUAGUUAUUUUUUUUAUGGGUCCUAUUAAUCAAAUAACCCAACGAGAUCAAUCUGCAACCUUUUGAAUUGUGAAGAUAUAAAGUGUUUACGGUUUCAAAGUAAUUUGAGCUUUAGUUUCUUUGAGUGCCAAAGUUAGUUUUUAGUGUUUGUUAUGCACACAGCAAUCUACAUCAACUCUGUUAAGGAACAAGGAGGUGGUAAUUUGCAAACAUACUAUUUUAAGAGCAAAAAAAUAAUUUUAGGUUGUAUUUGGUUGUCCAAUGAUUGUGGGAGAUUGGGGAGAAGUGUUGUAGAAUGUACGAUAGUGAAUUAAAGUGAGAGAAAAUGCUCCCCAUUUUCUAAAUUUUGUUUGGUUGCAGUAGGAAAGUGUAAAAAAGGUUACUUUCCUGAGAAUGUGGUCAAGGUCCAACCAUUUUGGUGGGAUUCUUCAGCAGAUCUAUUUGGAGGAAUAAGGAAAUGGGUGGGCAAGCUGCCAUUCCCAAGACAUUCUCCUGAGCUACCCAAUGACAAAAAACUUGCAGAAAGUGGCCAAAAAGGGUACUUUCAGAUACUCUCCUACACUGUAUGGACAACCACACAAUGCCUAAGAUCUUUGGGUUUUUCUUGCAGACUAUGCAGACACGGAGGCUUGUUUUUCAUUUACCUUGAUGACAGAUCUCUUUAACUCUUCCUUCCUCAAGAGCACUCUACCGCCUAACUGCCUGGCUCAUUAGGAUGAAGCCGCCCUAGUUGUUGUGCUUCACUGAUGACCCAUUUUUUCAAGUGUUAUGAAAUAAGUCACUUUGGUUCAGUUUUUGCAAUAUCUUUCACAACCACUCCAUUAAUUUUAAUCCUCAAAGUACCGGUCAAAAAUAAAUAAAUAAAUUUAGUCAGUUUUUCUUUUC